UUCCGUAGCUCAGCUGGGAGAGCGCUACCUUGACAGGGUAGAGGUCGCUGGUUCGAGCCCAGUCGGAAUCAUCCA
rnacentral:tRNA from 1 species